AAAGACGUUUGUUAGUCACAUCACUUAUAACAAUCGAUUCAUCAACCAUCGAUGAUCAUCAUGUGAUCACUACAAUUGCAGUUACUCACAAAUUGCUUAGCGUCUUAAAGAGAUAAAUAAUAAUAGAUAGAUUCGAAUGGUUUCAAUAAAGAAGAAAAAAAUGAAAAAAGAUUCAAGUCACGAUCCGAACGCACCACCGUUGACAAGAAUACCUAUACCCGAAUUACGUGAUACUGAACAGCUGGAGAAACGAAGAGCGAAAAAAGAAGCUUCGAAGGCAUUGAAAUUAGACAACGAUGUUCUUCCAUCCAUAUGUUUGUACACAUUGUUGAAUGCUCAACAAACGACGAAUGAAACGAGUGCUAUUUGCGCUGAAAUAUCUGAUGAUUCUACGCUGUUGGCUGUUGGAUUUUCCGAUUCAUUCAUACGGAUAUGGCCAUUAACACCGGGCAAACUGUGUGGCCUAAAACCGGCAAGCGAAUUAGAACAUUUGGAUAAAGAAACUGACGAUGUUAUAUUGCGUAUAAUGAUGGACAUGGGCGAUGAUUUAAAGAUAUUAUUUGGCCAUAGUGGGCCUGUUUAUGGUCUCAGUUUUAGUCCAUGUCGCGAUAUGUUAUUAUCAUGUUCAGAGGAUACAACCAUUCGCCUUUGGAGCCUUUUAACAUGGACCAACGUUGUCGUCUUUAAGGGUCAUUGUUUUCCCGUUUGGAAUGUCAAAUUUAGCCCACACGGUUAUUAUUUUGCAUCCUGUUCACAUGAUCGAACGGCUAGACUUUGGGCUACCGAUAAUCCCAAUCCUUUGCGUUAUUUUACUGGUCAUUUUGCUGAUGUUGAUUGUGUACAAUUUGAUCCAAAUUCCAAUUAUGUGGCUACCUCAUCAUCCGAUCGUUCAAUUCGUCUAUGGGAUUGUCUGAAUGGUCAAUGUGUUCGAUUAAUGACCGGUCAUAAAGAUAAUGUCCAUGUUUUGGCGUUCGAAAAUUCCGGUCGAUUUUUAGCAUCGGCCGGUGCAGAUAAACGAAUUUUAAUCUGGGAUCUGGCCUCUGGUCAUUUGGUAGCUGAUUUUGCCGGGAUCCAUACGAAUUCAAUCUAUACGCUAGCAUUUAAUCGUGGUCCCGAAUCAAUAAUAUUGGCAUCUGGUGGUCUUGACAAUCGUGUCAUUCUUUGGAAUAUGAAAGCAUUAAUGGAUGAUUUAGAUUUUCAGGAAAUGACACCAACAUCCAUGCCUACUAUUAAAUCAAAAAGUGAAACCUAUUUAUUGGCGAAAUUUCCAACAAAAUCCACCUAUAUGCUAUUGAAUCAUUUCACACGUCGUAAUCUGUUGCUAUCGAUUGGAGCAUUUCAUCAAGCAUCAUCAUCAUCAUCAUUAUCAUCCGCAUCACAAUAAACAAUUGGACCAUUCGCAGAAACGUUCGAACAAACUAACUAUCUAACAAAAACAACAUCGCUACCACUAAACCAUCAUCAUCAUAUUAAAAUCUUUGUGAAUUUCAAAAAAAAAACGAAGAGGUUCAUGUAUUUGGAACACUCAAUUCUUCAAUCUACAAAAUACAAAAUAAUCAUAAUAUAUAGCCGACAAGAAAAAAAAGGAAAAGAAACGCAAUCGCACAGCGAAACAUUCUUACUACACAGUGAGUUAUUAUUUUUUUUAUUGUGGUGGUGGUGGUGAAACAGGUGACGUCAAAGACGUGUGCUAUUAGAGAGUUUAUAUUUGGAAAUUGGAUAGGAAAUUUGACCCAGUUUUUUUUCGGUUUGGAUCGAUUUUCGGUUUUGGUACAUUCGGUCGAUAAUUGUACUGUUUCAUCACAUCAAUACUGUGUGUGAUUUCAUUCACAAGAAAAAAUCAUAAAUAUAACAGAGACUUUGUAGAAAAAAGUCCUUGAAUACACACAUAAGCUUUAUUCAUAAGAAUUAUUUUCAAAAAACAAAAAAAGAAACUUUUGUUUUAUUCUUCUUUUCUA